rnacentral:lncRNA from 1 species
GCUUUGUACUCUAAUCAAGGUAUAAAGGACUAUAUGUGUUUCUCUUUAUCUAAAUGAAAGAAACUUGCAAUUGUCAAAAAACUUUUUUUUAUCCAAACAUUUUAAUAGCAGGAUAUUUAAUCAAAGUGGUUGUAAGCACUGAAGGGUAAAGAUUGCUUCAAUUUAUCAGUGGGAAGUUUGUUUUAUAGUGAUCAAGAUUAUAACACAAUGUUGACUGCUGUACCCCUAUUUUUGACUUUUUUACCUUUUAUGUCCAUAUGUCUGUUUGUUUUGUUUACGGAUCAUUGUCAAUAUAAUAAAAUUUGAUGCAACUGUCAUAAAUGCGCGUGGUUUAACUAGCUAAAAACAGGUUCUAUCCUCCAUUUUCUACUUAACAAAAUGUCUGUACCAAGUCUGAGUAAUAUGACAGUUGUUAUUCAUUCGUUUGAUGUAUUUGAGCUUUUGAUUUUGUCAAUUAAUAAGGGACUCUUCUUUUGCAGUUUAGUAUUUUUGUGAUUUUACUUUUUAGAUAUUGCACUGGUUGUAGUUGAUGUAACAGCAAUUCUAGACAAAGGAAGAUAAUUCCAAUUUUUAAAGAUGACUUUAACAAUGACAUCAUUUAUAUUUUCAAAACAGAUAUUAUAUUCCUGCACCCUGCAAAAGUAAUGUAAUUUCUUGACAAGUGUAAUAUCAUUUUGUGCCUUAAAUAUCUGAGCAUGUAUUACACAUCAAUAUAUUUCUU